rnacentral:rRNA from 1 species
UACGGGGGGAGCAAGCGUUGUUCGGAUUUACUGGGCGUAAAGGGCGCGUAGGCGGUUCGUACAGUCAGACGUGAAAUUCCUGGGCUCAACCUGGGGGCUGCGUUUGAUACGUACGGACUUGAGUGCGGAAGAGGGUCGUGGAAUUCCCAGUGUAGAGGUGAAAUUCGUAGAUAUUGGGAAGAACACCGGUGGCGAAGGCGGCGACCUGGUCCGAUACUGACGCUGAGGCGCGAAAGCGUGGGGAGCAAACAGG